CUGUGAGUAUGAGUGUGAGUGUGACUGCGACUGCAAGUGAGUAUGAGUGUGAGUGUGACUGCGACUGCGAGUGUGAGUGUGAGUGUGAGUGUGAGUGUGAGUGUGAGUGAGUGAGUGUGUGUGUGUACGUGAGUGUGAGUGUGAGUUUGAGUCUGUAUGUGUGAGUAGUAUAUAAAUCAAUAUACAUAUACGUUAGUAACUGUAUAAAGUGAUAGUAAGUGUAUAUAUAGCCAUAUACAUAAAUGUAUAUAAAAAUGUAUAUGUUAGUGCACUGUAUAUAGACAAUUAUGCACUUUAUACAUACAUAUCAA
rnacentral:lncRNA from 1 species